AGAGUUUGAUCCUGGCUCAGGACGAACGCUGGCGGCGUGCCUAAUACAUGCAAGUCGAGCGGAUCGUACCUUCGGGUACGGUUAGCGGCGGACGGGUGAGUAACACGUAGGUAACCUGCCUACAAGACUGGGAUAACUAACGGAAACGUUAGCUAAUACCGGAUACGCGAACUUCUCGCAUGAAGAGUUCGGGAAAGACG
rnacentral:rRNA from 1 species